rnacentral:rRNA from 1 species
AGAGAGAGACAUGCGCGCAUAUCAAUAAGCGGAGGAAAAGGAAACUAACUAGGAUUCCCCUCAGUAACGGCGAGUGAAGCGGGAAGAGCUCAAAUUUGAAAUCUUAAAGGGUUCUCCCUUGACGAAUUGUAGUUUAAAGAAGUGUUUUCUGUUGGAGGUUUUGGUAAAAGUUCUUUGGAAUAGGACAUCAUAGAGAGUGAGAAUCCCGUAUUUGACCAUUACUUUCAGCUUUGUGAUACACUUUCAAAGAGUCGGAUUGUUUGGGAAUGCAGUCCAAAAUGGGUGGUAAAUUUCAUCUAAAGCUAAAUAUUGGCGAGAGACCGAUAGCGAACAAGUACCGUGAGGGAAAGAUGAAAAGAACUUUGAAAAGAGAGUUAAACAGUACGUGAAAUUGUCAAAAGGGAAGCGUUUGACACCAGUGUUGUUUUUCUGAAAAUCAAUUAAAGAACUGUUUAUGCUAAGCUGUUUAGACUUUAUCAGCUAUCUGUUUAGUUUUGAGCUUUUCUUUAAUGCACUUUUCAGUUAACAAGUCAACAUCAAUUUCUUUUGCUGUAAAAAAGCUUGAGGAAGGUGGCUUGAGAUUCGUCUUAAGUGUUUAUAGCCUCUUGCCUAUGCAGUCGGAGAGAUUGAGGUCUGCAGCGUAGAUCCUUCGGGGCUAAAUGCAUUUGUGCUAAGUUAUAGCAUUUUAUAGACAACUUGUUGACUAUGAUUAGUCAUUGUAGCUUACUCGCUUAUGUUAUUUUACCUACGCUUAGGAUGUUGAUGUGAUACUGCGAGCAA